rnacentral:rRNA from 1 species
CGGAGCAUGCGGAUUAAUUCGAUGCAACGCGAAGAACCUUACCAAGGCUUGACAUACACCGGUAACGCCCAGAGAUGGGUGCCCCUUUGUGGUCGGUGGACAGGUGGUGCAUGGUUGUCGUCAGCUCGUGUCGUGAGAUGUUGGGUUAAGUCCCGCAACGAGCGCAACCCUCGUCCUAUGUUGCCAGCGGGUCAUGCCGGGGACUCAUGGGAGACUGCCGGGGUCAACUCGGAGGAAGUGGGAUGACGUCAAAUCAUCAUGCCCCUUAUGUCUUGGGCUUCACGCAUGCUACAAUGGCCGGUACAAAGGGCUGCGAUACCGCGAGGUGGAGCGAAUCCCAGAAAGCCGGUCUCAGUUCGGAUUGGGGUCUGCAACUCGACCCCAUGAAGUCGGAGUCGCUAGUAAUCGCAGAUCAGCAACGCUGCGGUGAAUACGUUCCCGGGCCUU